rnacentral:rRNA from 1 species
CUGAGGCGUGAUGACGAGGCACUACGGUGCUGAAGCAACAAAUGCCCUGCUUCCAGGAAAAGCCUCUAAGCAUCAGGUAACAUCAAAUCGUACCCCAAACCGACACAGGUGGUCAGGUAGAGAAUACCAAGGCGCUUGAGAGAACUCGGGUGAAGGAACUAGGCAAAAUGGUGCCGUAACUUCGGGAGAAGGCACGCUGACACGUAGGUGAAGUGAUUUACUCAUGGAGCUGAAGUCAGUCGAAGAUACCAGCUGGCUGCAACUGUUUAUUAAAAACACAGCACUGUGCAAACACGAAAGUGGACGUAUACGGUGUGACGCCUGCCCGGUGCCGGAAGGUUAAUUGAUGGGGUCAGCGCAAGCGAAGCUCCUGAUCGAAGCCCCGGUAAACGGCGGCCGUAACUAUAACGGUCCUAAGGUAGCGAAAUUCCUUGUCGGGUAAGUUCCGACCUGCACGAAUGGCGUAAUGAUGGCCAGGCUGUCUCCACCCGAGACUCAGUGAAAUUGAACUCGCUGUGAAGAUGCAGUGUACCCGCGGCAAGACGGAAAGACCCCGUGAACCUUUACUAUAGCUUGACACUGAACAUUGAGCCUUGAUGUGUAGGAUAGGUGGGAGGCUUUGAAGUGUGGACGCCAGUCUGCAUGGAGCCGACCUUGAAAUACCACCCUUUAAUGUUUGAUGUUCUAACGUGGACCCGUGAUCCGGGUUGCGGACAGUGUCUGGUGGGUAGUUUGACUGGGGCGGUCUCCUCCUAAAGAGUAACGGAGGAGCACGAAGGUUGGCUAAUCCUGGUCGGACAUCAGGAGGUUAGUGCAAUGGCAUAAGCCAGCUUGACUGCGAGCGUGACGGCGCGAGCAGGUGCGAAAGCAGGUCAUAGUGAUCCGGUGGUUCUGAAUGGAAGGGCCAUCGCUCAACGGAUAAAAGGUACUCCGGGGAUAACAGGCUGAUACCGCCCAAGAGUUCAUAUCGACGGCGGUGUUUGGCACCUCGAUGUCGGCUCAUCACAUCCUGGGGCUGAAGUAGGUCCCAAGGGUAUGGCUGUUCGCCAUUUAAAGUGGUACGCGAGCUGGGUUUAGAACGUCGUGAGACAGUUCGGUCCCUAUCUGCCGUGGGCGCUGGAGAACUGAGGGGGGCUGCUCCUAGUACGAGAGGACCGGAGUGGACGCAUCACUGGUGUUCGGGUUGUCAUGCCAAUGGCACUGCCCGGUAGCUAAAUGCGGAAGAGAUAAGUGCUGAAAGCAUCUAAGCACGAAACUUGCCCCGAGAUGAGUUCUCCCUGAGACUUUAGGUCUCCUGAAGGAACGUUGAAGACGACGACGUUGAUAGGCCGGGUGUGUAAGCGCAGCGAUGCGUUGAGCUAACCGGUACUAAUGAACCGUGAGGCUUAACCUUACAACGCCGAAG